ACAAGCGUCGAUGCGAGGGAGAUCGUCACGUGAAAAGGCCAUGUGCGCUGUUCGAUCAUGUAAACAAAGUGGAAGACAGAAAGUCCAACGUUAGCUAGGCUAUAAGAGAUUCAAAGAGAAUUCAGAUAGGAAAUGGAACUAUUGAACAAUAAAUUCUGCCUGGAAGCAGGAAUUGCGGAAUACAGUGCAAGGGAUCCCCGAUACUCUAUUUCAAAAGUUAUUGGAGCUAUACAAAGAAUCUUGAUUUAUAGAAGUAUACAGGUUUAAAAAAAAAAGAAAACAGUGUUGUAAAGAAAGAAAAGGAUUUUACAUUCAAAGAAUUAUGGAUGGCACAGAGAAAUGCCUAUGGAUGACGUCAUAACCAAUUUUGAAAAAUGUUUUGUUUGAAAGAAAAGGAUCUGAAGAAGGAAACAGAUCUAUUUAAAUUCGGAUGGAUUUAUAGACUGCCAGACUUAUUGCUAUCACUUAAUUCUGUACUACUAGAUCUUUUACACUGAGCCUAUAAGUUUUAGACUAGAUGAUUUAUCUAAUUUGAGAUUCCAUGACAUCAAUCUUUAAGCAUUUCAAGAUUACCAAUACAGAAUAUGUACAGAUGCAAUAGCAGAUGAAAUCCCACAUGUACACACACAAACAGGACACUGAUAUGUUACUGAAAUUUAGAGAUAUUUCAUUUCUCUCUUGUGUGGAUUGAAAUUGAUCUAAGAAAAAAAAGGUUUAUGUCAGACUGAAACAAUAUAAUAAACAAUUUUCUUUAGUUUUGUUAUGUGCUUAUAUUUUUAGGAAAUAUGUACCAAUGUAUCAGACAGUAUAUAGGGAACUUGUACUGAGUCGCUAGUGAGCUAGCUUUUCUAGUGAUGCGGUAAAAUCUCCCUCUAUAUUAGACAAGUUAAGCAAUGUCGAGCCUGUUUAACCCUUGAAUGGGUGACUGCUUCACAUUACA